rnacentral:piRNA from 1 species
GAAAGGUGCAUGACUGUAUUAAUGAC